GACGAACGCUGGCGGCGUGCUUAACACAUGCAAGUCGAACGGAAAGGCCCUGCUUUUGUGGGGUGCUCGAGUGGCGAACGGGUGAGUAACACGUGAGUAACCUGCCCUUGACUUUGGGAUAACUUCAGGAAACUGGGGCUAAUACCGGAUAGGAGCUCCUGCUGCAUGGUGGGGGUUGGAAAGUUUCGGCGGUUGGGGAUGGACUCGCGGCUUAUCAGCUUGUUGGUGGGGUAGUGGCUUACCAAGGCUUUGACGGGUAGCCGGCCUGAGAGGGUGGCCGGCCACAUUGGGACUGAGAUACGGCCCAGACUCCUACGGGAGGCAGCAGUGGGGAAUAUUGCACAAUGGGCGGAAGCCUGAUGCAGCAACGCCGCGUGCGGGAUGACGGCCUUCGGGUUGUAAACCGCUUUCGCCUGUGACGAAGCGUGAGUGACGGUAAUGGGUAAAGAAGCACCGGCUAACUACGUGCCAGCAGCCGCGGUGAUACGUAGGGUGCGAGCGUUGUCCGGAUUUAUUGGGCGUAAAGGGCUCGUAGGUGGUUGAUCGCGUCGGAAGUGUAAUCUUGGGGCUUAACCCUGAGCGUGCUUUCGAUACGGGUUGACUUGAGGAAGGUAGGGGAGAAUGGAAUUCCUGGUGGAGCGGUGGAAUGCGCAGAUAUCAGGAGGAACACCAGUGGCGAAGGCGGUUCUCUGGGCCUUUCCUGACGCUGAGGAGCGAAAGCGUGGGGAGCGAACAGGCUUAGAUACCCUGGUAGUCCACGCUGUAAACGGUGGGUACUAGGUGUGGGGUCCAUUCCACGGGUUCCGUGCCGUAGCUAACGCUUUAAGUACCCCGCCUGGGGAGUACGGCCGCAAGGCUAAAACUCAAAGGAAUUGACGGGGCCCCGCACAAGCGGCGGAGCAUGCGGAUUAAUUCGAUGCAACGCGUAGAACCUUACCUGGGUUUGACAUGGAUCGGGAGCGCUCAGAGAUGGGUGAGCUUCUUUUGGGGUCGGUUCACAGGUGGUGCAUGGCUGUCGUCAGCUCGUGUCGUGAGAUGUUGGGUUAAGUCCCGCAACGAGCGCAACCCUUGUUCACUGUUGCCAGCACGUUAUGGUGGGGACUCAGUGGAGACCGCCGGGGUCAACUCGGAGGAAGGUGGGGAUGACGUCAAGUCAUCAUGCCCCUUAUGUCCAGGGCUUCACGCAUGCUACAAUGGCUGGUACAGAGAGUGGCGAGCCUGUGAGGGUGAGCGAAUCUCGGAAAGCCGGUCUCAGUUCGGAUUGGGGUCUGCAACUCGACCUCAUGAAGUCGGAGUCGCUAGUAAUCGCAGAUCAGCAACGCUGCGGUGAAUACGUUCCCGGG
rnacentral:rRNA from 1 species